CACGUAGGGUGCGAGCGUUGUCCGGAAUUAUUGGGCGUAAAGAGCUCGUAGGCGGUGUGUCGCGUCGGCCGUGAAACCUGCAGCUAACUGUGGGCUUGCGGUCGAUACGGGCAUCACUGGAGUUCGGCAGGGGAGACUGGAAUUCCUGGUGUAGCGGUGAAAUGACGCAGACUAGUCAGGAGGAACACCGGUGGGCGAAAGGCGG
rnacentral:rRNA from 1 species